GUUUUUAUGAAAUAAGGAUAUACUUAGUAAAUACCCAACAUAAAUCUUUAAUAAAAAUUGUUGAAUAUCUAUUAAAUAAAGGUUAAAUUUUUUAGAAGAAUAAGAAGUUUUGAAUUUGGAGUAGAUACGAUAGAUUUCUUUCAUCAAAUAAAAGAUUUGCGAACAGUUAAAAAGGAAUAACUUCAUAAAUCAGUCAAGUUUGUAUGUAAUAAAAUGUCAAUGUUGGUAGCUAUUUAUAAUCAAGAAACCAUCAGCAUUGUAGCUAGGGGCUGAUGGCGAGGGUGGCGGUCAAGGAACUACACACAGCUCUGCAUGCUGCGGGUUGCGAAUGCAAGGGGCUCAUUAAAGACUUAUGUACUUAAAUGUUAUGAUGUAAUAUUUUGUUUUUAAAAAAAUAUAUAGUAUAUAAUUUUUUGUAGGUAAAAAAUAUGUCGACUUGGAGUAUUGUCAGAAAUCCCCCAAAGAUGUUUCGUAUAACCAUCGUAAAUGUUAGAGAUAAAAUUCAUUAUAUAUGAUGGGUUAAAAUUUCAAUGUUAUAAAGUUAAAUUGAGGAUAUUAAUAAAAUAAAGACAAAUAAAAUGUA